GCUGGUUAGCUCAGCUGGUAGAGCGCUCAACUGUACAUGGAGAGGUCCCUGGUUUAAUCCCAGGACCAGGCG
rfam:Ixodes scapularis strain Wikel colony gcontig_1108379783014, whole genome shotgun sequence.